CAGCAAGUUCGGCUUCUUUUGGAUUCAUUACGAAAUCGCCAAACGUGAAAAACAAAUUUUAGAAAAAUAUCGUCAAAUCAAAACGAAGAAGUUUAUAGAGAUUUUAUACAAAUAGAUGUGCUCAGUAUAAGUCAUAGAAGCUAGGUUUACAAAUCGUUUUGCUCUUUAACGCACGGUUUCCGAGUAAUAUUAUCUGUCUCGAUACUUUUUGAUUAGCC